UUGAGGACUGCUUUUUUAAACCCACAUCUUUUUGCUAUUUAGUCAUAUUGGAGUCAACACAUCUUUGUGAUGCCGACAACAAAGCGCAGCUUUGGCAUCCAGGCUGGGAGGAAACCAGUCAGUAGUACUGCUAAGUUUGGCUUGCACGACGCAAAAGAAAUACGAAGAGGAGCAGAUGGAAUAAACUACAGUUUCUCAGAUAUUGGAGAUCCUGGAGACCAAGACUGAACACACUCUGAGGAUGGGGAAGCAGGAGAGGACUGGGGACAGCCCUUGGGAGGCACUGCAGCAGAUGGACAUCGGCUGAAAUCUGAGCUUGAGCGUGAGGCCUGCCCAAGACGAGGCGAGGAAAUGGUUCCCAAGAAGAUCCCCAUGCAGCAGCUGUGCCAGCAUCCAACCUGGAAAGACCCCUGCUCCUGCCACAGUUCCAGAUGCUCAAGGCUUGCCACCAUACACACUGUCCACAAAAGUGAGCAGCUGUGAGAUUUGACCCUGUAUUUUGUCUUUACAAAAUCCUAGAGGAAAACAUCGUUUCUUCAGACCUGUUGUAUACUUACAAAUUGUUUGUUGUAAUGACUGAAAAACAUUUCCAAUACUUUUCUUUCUUAUGGUAAGAUUGAUUUAUAAUUCAAAAUGCAAGAUUUCCUCUCCACUGUGAUCAGCCAGUCAUGGCUGGCGACGUUGUCUCUCUCUAUAAAGAUAGAAACCUAAAUAGCUGCACUGAGGAAAGCAUGUGUCAAAUUGUGAAGAUUAGAUUUUUUCCAGCGUCCAGCAGUUUGUGCAGGUAUUCAUGAAAAAGCAAUACAGAGCAAAACCAUGACUAAUCCUCUUCAGUAUUAUUUUCACCCAGUGUGAAUGUGCUUUGUAUUUCCAUG